AGGUGAUUAAUGCCCGAUGAGAGGGUGAAAGGGACCUAUACCCCCGUCAGCUGCAGGAAAGGAACAAAGAGACAGGUGAUUGAUGCCCGGUGAGAGGGGGAAAGGGACCUAUACCCCCGUCAGCUGCAGGAAAGGAACAAAGAGACAGAGGAUGAGAAUGCGCUGACAUAGUGAGGAGACGUCUGGGCGUCACAUUCUACAGACAGAAGUUUUAGCUGGACCAGGCUACCAUCUGAAUUAGAUAAGGGAAGACUAUAGAGAAGACGUCACCUGUAGUCACUGAUAUCAUUGUUCAUUCUCCUCUCUAUGUCCUAUCAGACCUGUAGUCCCUUGUCAGUUCUACAGUUA